CCCGUUGUACANACCCCCCGCCCGUCAAGCCACGGAAGUUGGGAGGCACCCAAACGUACAUCUACCUAACCGCAAGGAGGGUGAUGCCCAAGGUGAAACCGAUGACUGGGGCU
rnacentral:rRNA from 1 species